rnacentral:lncRNA from 1 species
AAACUUUUUUGUUUCCUAUAUGUAUUUUUCUUGGAUCUCCUGCAAGACAAUUUUCACCUUCCCUUUGUGAUCAGAGCCGUCCCAGGACUUCAGGGGCCUCCUACCUCCAGAGUUUAUUAAGCGUUCCCCCCGAUCCCACCUCCACAGAAUCAUUUCUUCUGAAGGGCCCCCCUUCCAUGAGGGAACUCAUCCAAGGGCACCGGCUCAGCAAGGAAAAAAGGUUAACCGUGGCUCCACCAGUGCUGAUGCCACCCUCCCGGAGGAGCAGCCACCCGCCAGCCCUCCGUGCGCCCCACUCCACUGUCUGGCCAAGCCGCCCUGCCCCUAGUCUCUCCGCUGCCACCGACCUCCCCUCCAUGAGGCUCCAGCCACAUGGGCCUGCGGUGUUUUCUUCUCUCUUCUCGGUCGCUGGGUGCACAGGUGGACUGGAGUCCGUUGUUUCGGAAGAGGAGAAAACGCUGGGAAGAGUAACACAGAGCACAGACCCCGUGUGA